rnacentral:rRNA from 1 species
AUUGAACGCUGGCGGCAUGCCUUACACAUGCAAGUCGAACGGUAACAGGUCUUCGGAUGCUGACGAGUGGCGAACGGGUGAGUAAUACAUCGGAACGUGCCUAGUAGUGGGGGAUAACUACUCGAAAGAGUGGCUAAUACCGCAUGAGAUCUACGGAUGAAAGCAGGGGAUCGCGAGACCUUGUGCUACUAGAGCGGCCGAUGGCAGAUUAGGUAGUUGGUGGGAUAAAAGCUUACCAAGCCGACGAUCUGUAGCUGGUCUGAGAGGACGAUCAGCCACACGGGGACUGAGACACGGCCCAGACUCCUACGGGAGGCAGCAGUGGGGAAUUUUGGACAAUGGGCGCAAGCCUGAUCCAGCAAUGCCGCGUGCAGGAUGAAGGCCUUCGGGUUGUAAGCUGCUUUUGUACGGAACGAAAAGCCCUGGGUUAAUACCCUGGGGUCAUGACGGUACCGUAAGAAUAAGCACCGGCUAACUACGUGCCAGCCGCCGCCGUAAUAC